GCAGUGUGGUUAGCUGGUUG
rnacentral:miRNA from 3 species